rnacentral:piRNA from 1 species
UAACAUAUGAAUUUUGAGGGACACCAACUG